rnacentral:rRNA from 1 species
CGGGGAGCACCACAACAGGUGGAGCCUGCGGUUAAUCGGACUCAACGCCGGGAAACUCACCAGAUAAGACAGCUGAAUGAUAGUCGGGCUGAAGACUCUACUUGACUAGCUGAGAGGAGGUGCAUGGCCGUCGUCAGUUCGUACUGUGAAGCAUCCUGUUAAGUCAGGCAACGAGCGAGACCCACGCCAACAGUUGCCAGCUCGUCCUCCGGGAUGGUGGGGACACUGUUGGGACCGCCUCUGCUAAAGAGGAGGAAGGAAUGGGCAACGGUAGGUCAGCAUGCCCCGAAUUAUCUGGGCUACACGCGGGCUACAAUGGGUGGGACAAUGGGUAUCGACACCGAAAGGUGAAGGCAAUCUCCUAAACCCAUCCGUAGUUCGGAUUGUGGGCUGCAACUCGCCCACAUGAAGCUGGAAUCUGUAGUAAUCGUGUCUCAAAAUGGCACGGUGAAUACUGUCCCUGCUCCUU